UACGAAGGGGGCUAGCGUUGCUCGGAAUCACUGGGCGUAAAGCGCACGUAGGCGGCUUGUUAAGUCAGGGGUGAAAUCCUGGAGCUCAACUCCAGAACUGCCUUUGAUACUGGCGAUCUUGAGUCCGGAAGAGGUGAGUGGAACUCCGAGUGUAGAGGUGAAAUUCGUAGAUAUUCGGAAGAACACCAGUGGCGAAGGCGGCUCACUGGUCCGGUACUGACGCUGAGACGCGAAAGCGUGGGGAGCGAACAGG
rnacentral:rRNA from 1 species